GAGAAUUUUUAUUAAAAAUUAAAAUAAUAUUUUAUUUUUGCUAUAUUAAUAGAAAUAACUUUUAUUUUAGUAAAUUUUAUUGAACUAAUUUUAAUUUUUAUAGUUUAUAGUACUGUUAAGGAAUAUUUUUAUAUAUAAUUAAAGUAAAAUUUAUUUUUUGUACCUUUUGUAUCAGGGUUAAUUAAUUUAAUAAACUUAUGUUUAUUUCCCGAAUAUGGAGAGAGAUAAAGUUUUAUGAUAUUCAAUGUUUCAAAAUUGUUUUUAAUAUGAUUUUAGUAAUGAUAUGUUAUUCGUUCUCCAUGAUAUCUGGUUUUCUUGGAAUUAAAUUUAAUUUAGGAUGCAAUUUUAAAUUCGAUAACUUUUUUUCUUUUUUAUUUUUGUAUCAAAUACUUUAGGGGAUAAGCUCUGAAGUAAUUUUAUAACUAAACUUUUAAUAAUUAACUUUUGUAGGCUUAGAAUCAGCCAUCUUUAAUCUCGUUAUAGGGUAAGUUAAAUUUUUAUUUAUUUUUCUUUUGUUUAAUUUUUUACAAGAAUUAAUUAAUUAUUUUAAUAUUAAUAGUAAUAAUGAUUAAAUUAGUAUAUAAUUUAAUUAAAUUAUAGUAACUCGGCAAAUAUUAUAUUCGCCUGUUUAACAAAAACAUGUCCUUUUGUCUAAAAUAUAAGGUCUAACCUGCCCAAUGAUUUUAUUGAAUGGCCGCGGUAUAUUAACUGUGCUAAGGUAGCAUAAUCAUUUGUCUUUUAAUUGAAGGCUGGAAUGAAUGGUUGAACGAGAUAUAAACUUUCUUUAAUUUAUUUUUUGAAUUUAAUUUUUUGGUCAAAAAGCCAAAAUAUAUUUGAGGGACGAGAAGACCCUAUAGAUCUUUAUAUUUAUAUAUAUUAUAUAUUUUGGUUUAUUUAUUAUUUUUGAUAUAUAAAAAUAUUUGGUUGGGGCGACUAUGGAAUUUACAUAACUUCUAUUUAAUUUAAUUCAUUAAUUAAUGUUUUUCUGAUCCAUUAUUAUUGAUUAUAAGAUUAAGUUACCUUAGGGAUAACAGCGUAAUUUUUUCGGAGAGUUCUAAUCGAUGAAGGAGUUUGCGACCUCGAUGUUGGAUUAAAAUAAGUUGUAGGUGCAGGAGUCUACUAACUAGGUCUGUUCGACCUUUAAUUUUUUACAUGAUCUGAGUUCAGACCGGCGUAAGCCAGGUCAGUUUCUAUCUUCAAAUUUGUGUUUUAAAUCUUAGUACGAAAGGACCGGGUUUAAGGAAUAAUUUUUUAAUAUUGAUUUCUAUUAAUU
rnacentral:rRNA from 1 species